rnacentral:tRNA from 1 species
GCGGGAAUAGCUCAGUGGUAGAGCACCGCCUUGCCAAGGCGGGGGUCGCGGGUUCAACUCCCGUUUCCCGCU